AGAGUUUGAUCCUGGCUCAGAACGAACGCUGGCGGCGCGCCUAAUACAUGCAAGUCGAGCGAGAAGACGUAGCAAUACGUUUGUAAAGCGGCGAACGGGUGAGGAAUACAUGGGUAACCUACCCUCGAGUGGGGAAUAACUAGCCGAAAGGUUAGCUAAUACCGCAUACGACUCUCGGUCUGCGGAUCGGGAGGGAAAGCGAUACCGUGGGUAUCGCGCUCUUGGAUGGGCUCAUGUCCUAUCAGCUUGUUGGUGAGGUAACGGCUCACCAAGGCUUCGACGGGUAGCUGGUCUGAGAGGACGAUCAGCCACACUGGCACUGCGACACGGGCCAGACUCCUACGGGAGGCAGCAGUAAGGAAUAUUGCGCAAUGGGCGACAGCCUGACGCAGCGACGCCGCGUGGGGGAUGAAGGUCUUCGGAUUGUAAACCCCUUUCGGCAGGGAAGAUGGAACGGGUAACCGUUCGGACGGUACCUGCAGAAGCAGCCACGGCUAACUUCGUGCCAGCAGCCGCGGUAAUACGAAGGUGGCAAGCGUUGUUCGGAUUUACUGGGCGUACAGGGAGCGUAGGCGGUUGGGUAAGCCCUUCGUGAAAUCUCCGGGCCUAACCCGGAAAGUGCGGAGGGGACUGCUCGGCUAGAGGAUGGGAGAGGAGCGCGGAAUUCCCGGUGUAGCGGUGAAAUGCGUAGAGAUCGGGAGGAAGGCCGGUGGCGAAGGCGGCGCUCUGGAACAUUUCUGACGCUGAGGCUCGAAAGCGUGGGGAGCAAACAGGAUUAGAUACCCUGGUAGUCCACGCCCUAAACGAUGUCAACUGGCUGUUGGGAGAGAAAUCUUUCAGUAGCGAAGCUAACGCGUGAAGUUGACCGCCUGGGGAGUACGGCCGCAAGGUUGAAACUCAAAGGAAUUGACGGG
rnacentral:rRNA from 1 species